ACUGCAGGCUGCAACCCGCCUGCACGAAGCCGGAGUUGCUAGUAAUCGCGAAUCAGAAUGUCGCGGUGAAUGCGUUCCCGGGUCUUGUACACACCGCCCGUCACACCAUGGAAGUUGGGGGUGCCCAAAGCCGGCAAGCAAAUAUGCUGUCUAAGGCAAAACCAAUGACUGGGGUGAAGUCGUAACAAGGUAAC
rnacentral:rRNA from 1 species